ACGUAGGGACCAAGCGUUGUUCGGAUUUACUGGGCGUAAAGGGCGCGUAGGCGGCGCGGUAAGUCACUUGUGAAAUCUCUGAGCUUAACUCCGAACGGCCAAGUGAUACUGCAGUGCUAGAGUGUGUCAGAGGAUGGUGGAAUUCCCGGUGUAGCGGUGAAAUGCGUAGAGAUCGGGAGGAACAUCAGUGGCGAAGGCGGCCAUCUGGGACAACACUGACGCUGAAGCACGAAAGCGUGGGGAGCAAACAGGA
rnacentral:rRNA from 1 species